rnacentral:rRNA from 1 species
AGGACGAACGCCGGCGGCGUGCUUAACACAUGCAAGUCGAACGGAAAGGCCCGCUUGCGGGUACUCGAGUGGCGAACGGGUGAGUAACACGUGGGCAACCUGCCCUCAGCUUCGGGAUAACACUUGGAAACAGGUGCUAAUACCGGAUAAUAACCUUUCAUCGCAUGGUGGUGGGUUCAAAGUUUUUCGGCUGAGGAUGGGCCCGCGGCCUAUCAGCUUGUUGGUGGGGUAAUGGCCUACCAAGGCGACGACGGGUA